UGCCUGGUAGCAGUGUUUAGGAUCAGUAACCAUCUCGACUCACUGAAAGACAGACAAUUGCAAUAGCUAAUUAUGUCUGAAGGAAUAGUCUAUGCUGAUGUAAAGUUCAAAAAGCAACAAAGGACUGAAGGAAAAAAUUGUGCAACAGCAUCCACAGUGAAUGAUACCACACACUCUGAAAUCUCCAUUUCCAGAACCGGAUGCAACCAGCCAUCUAUCGACCCUAAUGCUGGUGACCCUGAUUCUCAGGAGGGGUCAAAGGUCAAACCAAGUGGAUAUGACCCUGUCAGAGUUGUUCUGGUGACUCUCUGUGUUCUUCUGAUGGGUGCUGUCAUUGGACUUGGGG